ACUUGGCUUCACCAUCUAUCCUUCACCUCAGGUUUCUACUGCAGUUGUGGAACCAUACAAUAGUGUCCUCUCCACCCACUCCUUGCUCGAGCACACAGAUGUUGCUGUCCUCUUGGACAACGAAGCUAUCUAUGAUAUCUGCCGCAGGUCCCUUGAUAUUGAGAGGCCUACUUACACUAACUUGAAUCGAUUGAUAUCACAGACCAUAUCUUCUCUGACCACUUCCUUGAGGUUCGAUGGAGCUAUUAAUGUUGAUGUCACAGAAUUCCAGACCAACCUUGUGCCUUACCCUCGAAUCCAUUUCAUGCUCUCUUCAUAUGCCCCUGUUAUCUCUGCUGAGAAAGCAUACCAUGAGCAGCUCUCAGUACCAGAGAUCACAAAUGCAGUGUUUGAGCCCUCCAGCAUGAUGGCCAAAUGUGACCCCAGGCAUGGUAAGUAUAUGGCCUGCUGUUUGAUGUACCGUGGAGAUGUAGUUCCCAAGGAUGUGAACGCAGCGGUGGCCACAAUUAAAACCAAAAGGACUGUCCAAUUUGUUGACUGGUGCCCUACUGGUUUCAAGUGUGGCAUCAAUUACCAGCCUCCAACUGUGGUCCCUGGAGGUGAUUUGGCGAGGGUGCAGCGUGCGGUCUGCAUGAUCAGCAACAACACAGCUGUGGCUGAGGUAUUCUCACGAAUCGACCACAAGUUUGAUCUGAUGUACUCGAAGCGUGCUUUUGUGCAUUGGUACGUGGGUGAGGGCAUGGAAGAAGGGGAGUUUUCAGAGGCCAGAGAGGAUCUUGCUGCCCUUGAAAAGGACUAUGAAGAAGUCGGAGCUGAGGGUGUUGAAGAUGAUGGGGAUGAGCCUGAAGACUACUGAGUUCUGGUCUUGGGCGUUCAUAAUUGCUUUUAUGAUAUUCUGUAUGUUGGAUUAUUUGUGUGUGCAUCACCAGUAUUUGCUUGAUCUUGUAUGGUUAUUAUGUCAUGUUUGAAUUUGAUAUUCUCUUUCAUUGUUUAGAUGUAUUUACUUUUAUUGUAG
rnacentral:misc_RNA from 1 species